GCAGAGGUGGUUCGGUGGUAGAAUUCUUGCCUUCCAUACUGGAGACCCAGGUUCAAUUCCUGGCCAGUACA
rnacentral:tRNA from 1 species